AUGCCCAGUGUUAUCUCGCUGAUAUGCCUGUAUAUUUAGCCAUAGUACAUACGAUAAUUAUUAUUAUUACCUAUUCGGAGUGUACCGACUCUCUGACAUAAUUUAUGUAUCGUUUGCACAUACGUUACAUUAAUGACGACACACGGUGUUCGAAUCGAACGCGUUUCAUUAACGUGAUUACACGACGGUACAGCAGUGCGUUUUACACGUCGUCGUGUGUUAUUUGCUAUUAUCACAAGUAUAUUAUAUACCUAUACAACGGUUUCCUUCUCUAAAACGCGAUAAACAAUAUAAUUUUAUGUUGCAUUUCCAUUGGCGACGUGUUCAAUUGUUCGUUUGUUUAUAAAAAUGUUUUCGGUACACACGUAAACUGCACGUUGUCCGUCACUAUUGUCAUAUCGUUGUAUCGCCGUCUUACAAACGCACGGCAUAGCGAAUUUGCGUUCAGCGGGACAAAUAUUUUCCGCCGUUCGUCGUAGUUUUACAGUGAAUCGACCCAGUUGUGCUAAUCGGGGGGUGAUAGUCGGGGGUUUUAACCCUCCCUUCCAAAUUUGAGAUAUUUUCUACGAUUACUUGGUACGUAAUCAUUUGUAUUACAUAAAACGAACAAUAGUAUU